UACGUAGGGGGCAAGCGUUGUCCGGAAUCAUUGGGCGUAAAGCGCGUGUAGGCGGCCAGAAAAGUCCGCUGUGAAAACUCGAGGCUCAACUUCGAGCUGUCGGUGGAAACUUUCUGGCUAGAGUCCGGAAGAGGAGAAUGGAAUUCCUGGGUGUAGCGGUGAAAUGCGCAGAUAUCAGGAAGAACACCCGUGGCGAAGGCGGUUCUCUGGGACGGUACUGACGCUGAGACGCGAAAGCGUGGGGAGCGAACAGG
rnacentral:rRNA from 1 species